ensembl:snoRNA Gm23168 small nucleolar RNA SNORA48
GGCCCCUGGCAAUGGGCAAAGAGAUACCUGGUUGGUGGUGUUGUGCUUAUAUCAGUCAGGAGCAGAGUAGGUGGCAGCUCUUUGUUCAUCCUAGCUUGAUGCCUGGCUUGGUGGCAAAGCUGCUUUAUGCCUAGGACACAUAA